rnacentral:lncRNA from 1 species
CGUGAUGCAGAAUAAUGGCUUUCACAACAAUGACUCAGACAAUCCCCUCCCCCUGCUUCCAAGAGUGUUUCCAGUUACAUCCAAAACCUUAGAUGAUGGGGAAUGAAAAUAGCAUCUUAUUACACACCUGUCGUUGGCUCUUAGGAGAAAUAUCUUUCCCGAAUGCUGUAGUGGGAGGCUUAAUUUAUACACAUCACAGAUUCAUAUUCAUGUGUGCUCCAUUUAGGCUUUAUUAUGUUUACAAAUCUUCUGAUGAAUGAGAAAUCAAUAAUCUGAGGAACUGUAGAUGUAGAAAUAGAAGACAAAUAGAGUUUACCGUGCAUGACAGUAAGUGCCAGCCCAUAGAUGCAGUGUUUGGGGUCUGAAACAAUGAUGAAUGUCAAGUUACUUCAGGAUAAAAUUUCCAACUAUUUAUCUUAAAAAGUUAAAUUACAGAUACAUUGUGGAGAUUCUUCUGUAAGAAGUUAUUAAUUUCAGUGGUCAAUUUCAAUACUGUUUCUGGAAAUUUUUCAGGUAGAACUCUUUCUGAAGUUAUUUGAGAAAGAACAGCUAAAUGUCACCCACGACCACAGACCUCCCUGGGGCCUCAAAGUCAGUGCAAGAGAUGAAACAGCACCUGCAGGCUGAACAGGGUGUGCCUUUGGGGCUGCCAGUAGCCAUGGUCCCCUCCACAGGAAGGAACCUGGAAGAACGAGGGCAAACAAAACAAAAGCUGAGUUGAAAGGUGGAGAGAGAAAUCUGAAUGCUGACUCUACUGGGCAGCCUGACCACAUGGCAUUGCUCCCCAGCUGGAGGAAGGGUAGGAGUUGAGGG